AGUGAACGCUGGCGGUAGGCCUAACACAUGCAAGUCGAACGGCAGCACAGUAAGAGCUUGCUCUUACGGGUGGCGAGUGGCGGACGGGUGAGGAAUACAUCGGAAUCUACUUUUUCGUGGGGGUUAACGUAGGGAAACUUACGCCAAUACCGCAUACGACCUACGGGUGAAAGCAGGGGAUCUUCGGACCUUGCGCGAUUGAAUGAGCCGAUGUGGGAUUAGAUAGUUGGCGGGGUAAUGGCCCACCAAGGCGACGAUCCGUGGCUGGUCUGAGAGGAUGAUCAGCCGCACUGGAACUGAGCCACGGUCAAGACUCCUACGGGAGGCAGCAGUGGGGAAUAUUGGACAAUAGGCGCAAGCCUGGUCCAACCAGACCGCGUGUGUGAAGAAAGCCUUCGGGUUGUAAAGCCCUUUUGUUGGGAAAGAAAAGCAGCAGGUUAAUACCCCGCUGUUCUGACGGUACCCAAAGAAGAAGCACCGGCUAACUUCGUG
rnacentral:rRNA from 1 species